GUCACCGUAGCUCAGAUGGUUAGAGCGGGCGUUUCAUAAGCGCCAGGUCAGUGGUUCGAUCCCACUCGGUGACA
rnacentral:tRNA from 1 species